CAACCCUCAAGCACAGCUUGGUAUUGGGUGUCACCUGUCAGUGGUGUACCUUAAAAUCAGUGGCGGUGCCAUCUGGCUUCAAGCGUAGUAAAUUUCUCGCUUUGGAGGUUUGGAUGUUGUAGUUGCUAUCAACCCCUAAUUUUAUCAAA
rnacentral:misc_RNA from 1 species